GCUUUAUUUAAUAAUUUCUCUAUUUAUGAAUACUUACUGUUUUCUAUGGCAAACUCUCAGGAAUUUUUUCUUCAGUACUAACUGCUAAAAGUUCUGUGGUCCAAAUCAUAACAAUUUCCCAAAUACUUGUGCAGGUUUUCCUAUUUCUCAUUUGUGCUUCCAAUGUUGCUUCUGAAUUUCUGUAUUAAAAGACCUCUCACUUCAAUUCAAUUAUAUAAGCUUAUAUAUAUUAGUAGGUGAGUUCUUUGUCAGCAACUAAGUUUCUAAAACACUCUAGACUCCUAGGAAUUGUAUGUUUAGUUCAAAGAUAAAUGAAUAAUUGAAUUUCUCAUCACCAAGUUACCUUUGUUCAAUUGUCAGAUAAAAUAUUUUAUUUGUUUCCUCCUAGUUAAGACCGGCAAAAUUAACCGCUGUUAUAUUAUUUUUACUUUUCCCCUUAUGAUAACUUUUCUUCUCUAAUAAUUUCUCUUCUCUGUUUUCCAGUGAUUCAUUGAUUCAUUGAGAGCCAGUUGUGCUAGAUGCUGGAGAAAGCAGGCUGAGUCAGAUAGGCAGGCUCUCUACCCUCAUAAUCUUAAACGUGAGAGAUGAGAGACAGUCACUCACUUAUAUAUUGAGAUGAAAUGAAGAUUUCUCAGGCAUCACUACUUAUUUGACUGACUCAUCGAGCACAUGUUCUAUGAUGAGCAACUUGAACCUGGGUUUUUGCUUCUGUGUAGAGCAGAAAGAGCAUCAGUGGUUGCUCUUCAGUGUGAGCUCUGCGAAAAGUCAGUCAUCAUAAAUGACUACCCUGAAACUGCCAUGCUGUGGAAAAGCCUAAGCCCAUGGAGAAGUCUUGGAAGAGGGACACCAAGUGCAAAAAGAUGUGAGCAUCAGAUUACCAGCACUGUGAGUAAAGAAGCCAACUUUGAAGUUGGGUGCUCCAGCCUCAGGUGCCAUGCCCACUUUGUGGGGAUCAGAGAUGAACACAUAGUCAAGCCCUUCUGGAGUUCCUGACUUACAAAUUUAUGAGCAAAAUAAAAUGAAAAUUCUAAGCUACUCA
rnacentral:lncRNA from 1 species